rnacentral:rRNA from 1 species
UACGUAGGGGGCAAGCGUUGUCCGGAAUCAUUGGGCGUAAAGCGCGCGUAGGCGGGCCAUUAAGUGAGAGGUGAAAUUCCAGGGCUCAACCCCGGAACUGCCUCUCAUACUGUUGGUCUUGAGUGAGGUAGAGAGAAGUGGAAUGGCUGGUGUAGCGGUGAAAUGCGUAGAUAUCAGUCGGAACACCGGUGGCGAAGGCGGCUUCUUGGGCCUUUACUGACGCUGAGGCGCGAAAGCCAGGGGAGCGAACGGG